GACGAACGCUAGCGGCGUGCCUAAUACAUGCAAGUCGAACGGAGCGGCGAACGGGUGAGUAACGCGUGAGUAACUGCCCCCCUCUCUGGGUUAACAGUUGGAAACGGCUGCUAAUACCGGCUAGUGGGGGAUGACUCGCGUCCUAUCGGCUUGUUGGUGGGGUAGUGGCCUACCAAGGCGACGACGGGUAGCCUGCCUGGGAGGGCGACCGGCCACAUUGGGCUGGGAUACGGCCCAAACGCCAACGUGAGGCAGCAGUGGGGAAUAUUGUACAAUGGGGGAAACCCUGAUGCAGCAGCGCGCGUUCGGGAUGACGGCUUUCAGGUUGUAAACCGCUUUCAGCCAUGACGCGGUAGUGGCAGAAGAAGCACCGGCUAACUACGUGCCAGCAGCCGCGGUAAUAC
rnacentral:rRNA from 1 species